ACAAGAAAAGCCAUAUACAUCUGAUUAAUACACUAUGAAUAAAAUCGCGGUUUUCUUUGUAGCUAUCAUCAUCUUGGAAAUAUCUUUGGUCACACAAGGAAUGCCAUAUCCAUCAGGUGAUAAAGAGCCGCAAAAUAGUGCAUCUGAAGAGACAGGUAAU